AUGGUACACGCCGGUGAGCGUGGUGUUGACGAGGUUGCCGAGGUAGACGGCCAAGGUGGAGUUGCCGGCGGCGGCGAGGAGGGACGCGUACUUGGUGACGUCCUUGGAGACGGACCAGACGAUGCCGUUGGGCGGCGGCGCGGCGGUGCUGCCACGGAGGAGCUCGGCGCCGCCGAGCCAGACGCCGAAGAUCCUGUCGAGCUGGGCUCCCUGGCAGGCGGCACGCCACUCGAGCUCCGCGAGGGAGAUCGCCGAGGCACGGCCGCCCGCCUUGACGAGGCAGCGCGGCGGGGAGUAGGCGACGGUGGCGGGGGGCUUGUGGAAGGUGGAGCCGAAGGAGGCGGACAGCAGGAGCGUGGAGCACCGGCGGCCGGAGCUGCCGCGUGCGCGUGGCGGGCGGUCCACCUCGAAGAAGGCGGUCGGCCGCGACGGGCUGGCUGGGGAUUUGCGUAG
rnacentral:rRNA from 1 species